UGGGGAAUUUUCCGCAAUGGGCGAAAGCCUGACGGAGCAAUACCGCGUGACGGAAGACUGCCUAUGGGUUGUAAACCUCUUUUCUCACGGAGGAACAUAAUGACGGUACCUGAGGAAUAAGCAUCGGCUAACUCCGUGCCAGCAGCCGCGGUAAGACGGAGGAUGCAAGUGUUAUCCGGAAUCACUGGGCGUAAAGCGUCUGUAGGUUGUUUGAUAAGUCAACUGUUAAAUCUUGAAGCUCAACUUCAAAAUCGCAGUCGAAACUAUUAGACUAGAGUAUAGUAGGGGUAAAGGGAAUUUCCAGUGGAGCGGUGAAAUGCGUAGAGAUUGGAAAGAACACCGAUGGCGAAGGCACUUUACUGGGCUAUCACUGACACUCAGAGACGAAAGCUAGGGUAGCAAAUGGGAUUAGAUACCCCAGUAGUCCUAGCUGUAAACAAUGGAUACUAGAUGUUGGGCAGAUCGACCUGUUCAGUAUCAAAGCUAACGCGUUAAGUAUCCCGCCUGGGAAGUAUGCGCGCAA
rnacentral:rRNA from 1 species